rnacentral:tRNA from 1 species
GCCUGGGUGGCUCAGUCGGUUGAGCGUCUGACUUCAGCUCAGGUCAUAGUCUUUCAGUUCGUGAGUUCCGGCCCCACGUCGGGCU